GAUGAACGCUGGCGGCGCGCCUAACACAUGCAAGUCGAACGGCACCCCUCUCCGGAGGGAAGCGAGUGGCGAACGGCUGAGUAACACGUGGAGAACCUGCCCCCUCCCCCGGGAUAGCCGCCCGAAAGGACGGGUAAUACCGGAUACCCCGGGGUGCCGCAUGGCGCCCCGGCUAAAGCCCCGACGGGAGGGGAUGGCUCCGCGGCCCAUCAGGUAGACGGCGGGGUGACGGCCCACCGUGCCGACAACGGGUAGCCGGGUUGAGAGACCGACCGGCCAGAUUGGGACUGAGACACGGCCCAGACUCCUACGGGAGGCAGCAGUGGGGAAUCUUGCGCAAUGGGGGGAACCCUGACGCAGCGACGCCGCGUGCGGGACGGAGGCCUUCGGGUCGUAAACCGCUUUCAGCAGGGAAGAGUCAAGACUGUACCUGCAGA
rnacentral:rRNA from 1 species